rnacentral:rRNA from 1 species
AGCGAACGCUGGCGGCGUGCCUAACACAUGCAAGUCGAGCGAAGGCAUGAGUGUAGCAAUACACUUAUGUACUUAGCGGCGGACGGGUGAGUAACACGUGGGUGACCUGCCCUCAGCUCUGGGAUAAGCCUGGGAAACCGGGUCUAAUACUGGAUAUGACUCCAUGACGCAUGUUGUGGGGUGGAAAGCCUUGUGCGGCUGAGGAUGGGCCCGCGGCCUAUCAGCUUGUUGGUGAGGUAACGGCCCACCAAGCCUACGAUGGGUAGCUGAUCUGAGAGGAUAAUCAGCCACACUGGAACUGAGACACGGUCCAGACUCCUACGGGAGGCAGCAGUGAGGAAUAUUGCGCAAUGGCCGAAAGGCUGACGCAGCGACGCCGCGUGAA